GUAGAGACGGGAUUUCACCGUGUUAGCCAGGAUGGUCUCGAUCUCCUGACCUCGUGAUCCGCCCGCCUCGGCCUCCCAAAGUGCCGGGAUUACAGGCGUGAGCCGCCGCGCCCGGCCCAGGAAGUACUUUUCUAAUAAAUGAAGGUAUGGCUGAGAAAUUUUUACAGAAACUGAAAAAUACAACAUUAUUUAAAUGAUGUAAGUCACUGUAAGAACUGAAACACACCAGCUUAAUUUACCAUGACUUUGUUUAUCCAUUCCUAAAGUAUAUUCAGUAGUUACAUAGCACAUGAACAAGUUAAAUAAGAUACCCAAGUGCGGGUGCUUCAUUGUCUCCGAAUGAAAUAUACCAGGAAAAAACAAUGACAAAAGACGUGAUUUUCUCUGGAAUUUCUCAUGUAAGAUGAAAUACAGAGGCAUAUAUGAUCUACUUGUAUAAAUUUAUUUCUCUAUAGCUGGCCUAUUCCCCAAAGAAGGAUACAUGGCUUAUAAAAUGCACAAAAUACAAUAGAAGAAAAUAAACAUAAGUAAGUAAAAUCAGGAACAGGUAAAAUAUAAAUUUGAAUCCAAGGUUAAGACUGGAGAAAAGUAGAAUGCAAACAGUUAUGUCCUACUGAGUUAUUAAAGUCAAGUUGCAAAUUUGGCUCUGGGCUUCCUGGAGGCUAAACAGCUAGAAAUUAAUGGAUAGACUAACAGAUUUUGAUGUUAUCAGUGGGAAAAAUAUACUUUCCAUUAGCCGUCUAAUUCUUUAAUACUUCACACUAAAUAUCCUUUGCAGAAAAAGUUUAAAUAUGGAAAUUUUGUGCAAAAUAAAGGGUUUGCUAAUUAGAAGGAAAUGUAUAAAGAAGCAUGUUUACAAAAGUGUUUCUCAUUAUGAAAACCGAUGGUUUCAAAAAACAUGUUAUGAUAAGGAAGAGAGUUUCAAAGUGUUCCCAGGUUAAUCUGGGGAAAAGUAACCAAAAGCCUGCUGCUUUGAAGGUUUAAUCCAAGAUGCUUAUCCAACCUGUUUGUUGAACAAAUCUUGCAAAUAAGGCCUUCUCAGAAGAUUCACAGCAUAUUCUGUGGGAGCUUGAAAUGUCAUCAGAACAGGCUUUCUGAUGAUAUUAUGCAGGCAUAACAUCCUAACAGUUGGGGUGAGGGUGGAAGAGGAAGGUAGCAAGAUUGUUUCAUUGCCUGGUUCUUCUGCUGUGCUGCAUAACAGCUUUUCUGGCAAUGACGAUAGGCAUAACUUAAAGAGAAAACAAAACAAAUAAACAAAAGAAAGAAAACAAGAAAGCUUGACAAGAGCCCUCCACACAAAUCCUUAACAGAAAUUCUUGACAAUUAUGGGUGUUAACAAAGCAUUUCAAAAGACGAUAGAAUUAUGACUCUCAUACAGAUAAAAAACAAAUGCAUGUUAAAGAUUUUAUUUAACUCCUUGUUAAGGAAAGAACCAGAGAAAUGUUACCAUCAGUUCAAAGGAGAAUCCAAAGAGCAGAUACAUUUAUAGAUCAGUAAUACCGAAAUGAAUUUUAAAAUGGACCUAUAAGUGGCUUUUCCGUGGAGGAGGAGGGCUGUUCCUCCACCAGACAAUUCAGCUAUAUGUCCACAGACAUUAUGAUUUGCUUUGUCAUCAAUUAUACAAUAGCUCAAAGAUAAUGAAAGGCUAGAAUUAGGUAACCCUGGAAAGGUAUCUCUAAAUGAGGCACCGUUUUCCAUUGGAAAUACCUAGUAAUCUUAUUUGUUUGCUCUGAAUUUCCUUAUUCUGGUAAGUAAAUCUGACCUCCAUCCUGGACACCCCACUGGUACUAGAGAGACAGCCAGGUGGGAGGGGGUCCCUGGAGAAACUCCAACUAGCCUGCCCACUGGGGUGGAGCCUCGGGAAGUUCCCUGUUUGCAGCAGGGAGGAGCCUGGCCCCUCCUCUUUCUGUGUGGAAUUUGGGAUUCAAACUGCCGGGCGGGAAGAAUUCUAGCAGAGGGACUCUGGCCUUAUGAAAGUUCCUGUUUACCCCUUUUUUUCCCUUUUCACCCAAUAAAAUCCUGCUUUACUUGCCCUUUAAACCAUCUGCAAGCCUAAAUUUUCAUGCCCGUGGGACAGACAAGAACCCCGACUUUGGCUGAACUAAGGAAAAGUUCUGCAACAUUUUUUUUUGAACAUUUAAAAGCAAGUUUUUGUUUGUUAUUUACUUAUUUUUAGAGACAGGAUCUCACUAUGUUGCCAAGGCUGGCCUCAAACUCCUGGCCUCAAGGAUCCUCCUCAUCCUCUCCAGUAUUGAGACUGUAGAUGCCCACCACUGUGUUGGGCCUUUUUAAAUUGAAAAUUUUAAGGGAAGCACAAAGUUUAUUAGUUUCAGAGAAAGUCAAAUGAUGUACAUGGGGGAUAGUCAUGAGUUAUCCCAUGAACAUACAAAAAUAAAUGCCAUUUUACCUCCUUUUUAAACUUAAACAGCUAUAGGGACUUGCAUUCUUGGUUUUUUUCAAACGUACAGUUCAGUUAUUAUUGACCGUAGUCACCCUGUUGUGCUAUCAAAUAGCAAGUCUUAUUCAUUCUUUCUAUGACGGAACGCUUUACUGUCUGCUAUCCCACAAUGAUAUUCACCCUUUUGUAACUCAUCUUUUCCAAACCAGGCUUUCUCAAUUUCACCAUCCUCACCUCCCCACAGCACAGCUGAGGCCCAUCUGAAGAAUGGUUACCAGAGGCUGGGAAGGGUAGUGGGGGAUUGAGAGGAGGUGGGGAUAGUUGAACUCUCAUGAGUUCAAUUGUUUUCAUUUUUAGAGCCCACAAAUAACUAAGAACAUGCAAUGUUUGUCUUUCUGUUCCUGGCUUAUUUCGCUUAACAUAAUGAUCUUCAGCUUCAUCCAUGAAGUCCUGCAACAUUUUUGGUGCCCAAUGUGGGGCUCAAAAAGCGGUGAGUGAAAUGGGGAAUCAAAACUGUUGCUUCUAAGCCUUUUCAUCCUGGGACUUCUGAGGGUGGGGAAACCAUGCCCCCAUCCCCCGUCGCUCCCAGGUCUUUUCAUGGCCUUUUCCUUCCUUUUUAAAGGUCCUUUUCCUUCCUUUUUCAGGACCACUGGUGAGCAGCAGCUCCCCACUCCCAGCCGGGGCUGGGACACAGAGCGCAAGGGUCCCGCACCGCAGGCUGGCUGGUUUCCAGCCACGCGCGGCUGCGCAGUCUUCCCCUUCCCUCGCCAAGGGGUUUAACUCUAUUAGACAGUAAUUAAGCUUAAACUUUUCUCCCUGGUGGAGCAACCACUUGCAUGAGCAUGAGAGGUUGUUCCCCAGGUAUGUUUACACCUUUUUUUCCCCCCUCUUCUCCGCCCCAUCGGCAGCAAAACCUUUAAAGUUUUUUUCUCCCCUUUGCUAGGUUAGGCUCCCCAACUAUCACCGUUUAUAUUUUCUGUAAAGCUUUAAUUGUGAGAAAGGAUUUGUGGGGCUAGUCUUGGGCUGUGGCCAAUCUGGUGUGCUUUGCAUCUUUUUGUUUGCACUGCAAGCCUCCAGCAUGUUUUACAUCCUGGGGGCAUGGCCAGUAACCACUUGGCAAGGCUUUGUUUAGCAACCGUGCCUUAGGGAGUGAGCCCUCUCUGGUUCAGUAUCAGCAUGUUUUCCUAGCCCUGUCUCCUAAAGGGCCCCGCACAGCGACUGGGUUUUCUCUUGUCUGUGUGUUUGUUGUGUGUAAUGUCUGUAAAAAGAGCUCUAAUUAAUUUGGCUUAAAGAAAGACAAGUGCUUGGAUCAUGUAUUUUUUUAAGGGAAGUUAAAAUCUGUGGUACCUUUCAGUUCACAUGACUUUAAUCUUUGAGAAAUAAAAACAGCCCUAAAGACUACUGGUAAAAUGCAGGUCAGAUAAAAGGUUUGCUAAGUGUUUUGAGGUUACAAACUGCUGCUCUUUGGGUUUUGGGAGCUAUUUGACUUGCUGGCUUCACAACUGGUAAGGGCUGGGGUCAUGUGGAACUAAACACGCUCUUAACUUAAGAAGGCAAACCUUGGCUGCAGUUAGCACACAAUUAAAGCAAUUUGCCAACUUUUACCUUAAAGUUAAAAAUUGCAAGGAGUUACCAUUAUAACAUGUAACUGAGACUACUGGAAAUAGAUUUACAAUCAACGUGUGUAAAAUCAGCAAAAUUUUUACUGUGUUUGUGUGUGUGUGUGUUUUGGUAAAAGGUUAUAAGAAGGCAUGGAAAUGUAAACUUUGGCCUAGGGUUAAAGGAUUGUUUUGAGUUAGAUAGGAAAAGCUGAAGGUUCAAAGAAGUGGUGGAAGAAUUGUGGAAAUUAAUCUUGCAGAAGAGUUUCCCUGUGUGAACGUAUUGACUAAAUUCAAAAGAGGAUAUUAUUACAUUGUUUUUCUGUAAGUUGAGCAUCGGACCAAAAGGACGACAAGGUUUUCCUAAGGCGCUAGUCUGCUAUUUGGCAAAAUUUGUAAAGGGUUAUAAAAGGUUUUUGCUUCUUUAAAAUUUCUGAGUAAUCAUUUUGGCACAAUAAAUAACUCAUGGUAAUCUGGAAUUCUAUUUCAUAAUAUCAAGUGUUUUGAACCUUGAACAUUUAACAGCCUUCCCCAAAUCAAACUUUAGUUACAAAAUUGUCUUCCUUGGCACCUGGCUUUUUGAAUGCUUCAGAGGGCCUCUGAAGUGUCCAGGAAAGAGAGAAAGCCAUGUUGGUUCACCACAUGUAUCGCAUCCUGAUAAUGUGAAGUGAAAAAGUAGAGCCUGGAAGCCUUUGUAAGAUGACUGUGCCAGAGGAGGAAGAUAAAUAUCUCGAUGCUAUGGAGGCCUGUCAGCUCUUUGAAGUAUCUGGGCAAUAUCAAGAUUUCUACUUCAGAGGAAAAAACAAAUAGUUAUUCAUUGACCCUGAUGCUGCCAAGAAAGAGGUGAAAGGUGAGCCCCCAACCCACGGAAAGAUCCAGCCAAGUAAGGAACUGCGAAAUAUUGAAUGACUAAUUCUCCAAACAAGGACUGGUUUUGAUCCGAGGAGAUCUGCUUCAAUUCUUAGUAAACGUCAAAAUUGCUACUGGUUGUCUGCUAGUCCAUCGUCUUAAACACUGAGGGAAGAGUUUCCCAUGCUUACACAGAUAAGUCAGCCUUGCAAAAUAAAUCAUACUUUCAGCUAAAUAAGCCAAUUAAAGCAGGAAUAAUGUGAUUAAAAGCAAAUCACCCAAACACUUAAAAUAUCUUAAAAAUCCAAUAUUUAUUCUCCAAUAAGGGAAAGUAUUCAGACUUAAUGCAUAGAAAUGGAGAUGUGCUAGCUAUGCAGAUUCCUUCCAUCUUUUCUCAUGUUUCUAAUGGCAUUUUAAAGUAGACUAUGCCUGGCUCUGCCUGGAGAUUACUUCAUGGACUAGUAGUUCCUCAAGGAUGUGAGAAAAAGUGGCAUAUUAGCUGCUUUAUAAUCCAUGUAGCACAUUUUCAAGCACCAGGUUAGUUCUAGGGAUGAGCAUAUGAUGAAAUCCAACUGAGGAGGGAAAGUGUGCAGAGUAGAGAAUAGCAUAUCAUGAGGUAUUCAAGCAUUUGCCUGUAUUGGCUUUGCAUUUAUUACCAGAUACAUUAAGAGCUGUCUGUGAAUGUGAAAACAAAUUUGGAUCAUCCUAUCCAGAAGGGAAGGCUCCAUUGUCUCCCUGUUUAUCCGGCACUAGUACAGAUUCCAAGUAUUUGAGUAUGCUGACUUUUAGGGCUAAUACAAACUGGUCUAGCUACCACGUGUGCCCUGGCACAGAACUGCAUUACUGAUGUUUUUAUUUAAGGGUCAAACUAUUACUGUUCCUACGAUCAAAUGAAAAAUUCUGGAAUGUCUUUAUAGUCUCCUUUAUCCUAGUUCUGAAUGACAACACAUUUUUUAAAAUUCAUGUUUCUAACUUUGUUCAAUUUGAAAUUAAUUAUACUUGUAAUUUUUGGACUAGAAUUGAAUUGAAUUAUAUUGAUCCAAAAUUUUUUCUCAGAAGAAUGUAAUUUCAUUUCUCUGAACUUCAAACAUGAGUUAUUUUCCAUAAUGAUAGUAAAAAAUUGAAGAACAGAUGGCACUAUCAGAAUAAAGGCAUGUAGAUAAAAUAAUCAAUAGCUCAUAUAAAAAUGCUUUGCUCACUUUUUUAAUCCUUUGGCAUUGCCUAAAAUAACUAAAGGUUUCUAUUGCAACACUAGUCUAGUCGGUUCACCUGGCCCAAAUGGCUGCAGAAACCAGGUCCUUCCCCGUCCUGCUGGGUUACUGGAGGGUUGGGUUGGAUGUACAGCCCGACUGGUUUUCACAUCUCCUCUUUUGUCCUCCAUGGUGGGUAAUACCACCACGGGGAUAAGUGUGCAUUGCUCAAGGGUGCUGUUAGAAGACAUGACUUCAGUGUACCCUUCUUCACAGUGGCAUGUUUUUGUCUGCAGGAGAACAAGAAGAUUUACACUAGCCAUGCAAGGAAUCUUUGAAAGUCUAGCAGACCUGACUUGAAGAGAAGGCUCUAAACAAGAAAUUCUUCAUUCUGGAACAGUGAUUCUUAAAGUGCGGUUCAGAGACCCUGGGAGACAUUGACAUUCUUUCAGAGUGUGAGUGAGGAUUUCCUCUUUGCAACUACAAUCUGUUUCUUAAACUUCUGAUUACACUUGGCUGGAACCUCCUUCACUAGGUUGACAAUAAGUGGCAAUAGUGGUAUCCUUGUUCUGUUAUUGAUUCCAAGAGCCUGCCUCUGAUGUUUCCCCAUGUAUUAUGAUGUUUGUGUAAAUUUUGAUAGACCUUAUUUAUUAAGUAAAAGAUUCUCUUCUA